AAAUGCGAUAAGUAGUGUGAAUUGCAGAAUUCAGUGAAUCAUCGAAUCUUUGAACUCACAUUGCGCCCCUUGGUAUUCCAUGGGGCAUGCCUGUUCGAGCGUCAUUUGUACCCUCAAGCUCUGCUUGGUGUUGGGUGUUUGUCCCGUCUCCGCGCGUGGACUCGCCCCAAAGUGAUUGGCAGCCGGCGUACUGGUCCCGGAGCGCAGCACAUGUCGCGCAAACGAGUGCCUUGGUACGGCGGCGUCCAUAAGCCCCUCUCUCACGCUCUUGACCUCGGAUCAGGUAGGGAUACCCGCUGAACUUAAGC
rnacentral:misc_RNA from 1 species